UUAGUAGUAGUUAAAUUAACUAUUAAUAUGGUCAUGUAUAAUUGCCUAAGUGUGAACAUCUGAAUUUCCUAUCAAAGACGGUGAUAAUCCGGUAUGGUAGUUUGAUUGGCUAAAUAUUCUUGUUAUUUAAAGAGUCGAGUUGUUUGGGAUUGCAACUCUAAUAAAGGUGAUAGAUUUCAUCUAAAGCUAAAUAUAUUAGGAAAACCGAUAGCAAAGAAGUACUGUGAAGGAAAGGUGAAAAGAACUUUGAAAAGAGAGUUAAAAGUGCUUGAAAUUGUUAAAAGGGAAGCGAAUGAAAAGAAUUACUGCGAUUAAGGUCCUCAGUAUUUCUGAAGGGGAAUUUAAUGAAAGGCUUAGUCGACUUGACCUGUCUGAUUUGAAAACCUUGGACGAUUUAUUUAUAGAUCUUGCAGAUUAAUGUAAAAUAAGGAAAUUAAAAAAAGGCUGAAAAGAGAUAUGUAGUGGGU
rnacentral:rRNA from 1 species